rnacentral:rRNA from 1 species
UACGAAGGGGGCUAGCGUUGCUCGGAAUCACUGGGCGUAAAGGGUGCGUAGGCGGGUCUUUAAGUCAGGGGUGAAAUCCUGGAGCUCAACUCCAGAACUGCCUUUGAUACUGAAGAUCUUGAGUUCGGGAGAGGUGAGUGGAACUGCGAGUGUAGAGGUGAAAUUCGUAGAUAUUAGGAAGAACACCAGUGGCGAAGGCGGCUCACUGGCCCGGUACUGACGCUGAGGCGCGAAAGCGUGGGGAGCAAACAGG